rnacentral:rRNA from 1 species
CACACUGGCACUGAGACACGGGCCAGACUCCUACGGGAGGCAGCAGUGAGGAAUUUUGCGCAAUGGGGGCAACCCUGACGCAGCAACGCCGCGUGUGGGAAGAAGGCUUUCGGGUUGUAAACCACUUUUGUAAGGGACGAAGUCCUUUCGGAUAAUACCCGAGGGGGAUGACGGUACCUUGCGAAUAAGCCACGGCUAACUCUGUGCCAGCCGCCGCCGUAACAC